UACGUAGGUGGCAAGCGUUGUCCGGAAUUAUUGGGCGUAAAGGGUGCGCAGGCGGCCCUGCGCGUCGCGAGUGAAAUCUCCCGGCUCAACUGGGAGGGUGGUCGCGAGACGGCAGGGCUUGAGGCUCGGUGAGGGGCGUGGAAUUCCGGGUGGAGCGGUGAAAUGCGUAGAGAUCCGGAGGAACACCAACGGCGUAGGCAGCGCCCUAGACGAGACCUGACGCUCAGGCACGAAAGCGCGGGGAGCGAACAGG
rnacentral:rRNA from 1 species